GACUUAAAAUCCGUCGACUUUAGAAAUCGUGAG
rnacentral:tRNA from 36 species